rnacentral:lncRNA from 1 species
CUCAGACUGAAGUUGUCUUCCUAUUGGCUGUAACUGCAGCUUGGUGGGUUCAUUGGUGUGAUUCAUUUCUCCUAAAUUUAGCUGCCUAAAUAGUAGGCAUCUCAUCUGAACCAGUCAUCAAGCUUAGCCUCAAAAUUAGUCAUCAGAGAUAAGCAGCUCAACAGGUCAGUCUGACCUGUGCUGUGUUAGGGAGGGUUCUAGCAGAGACUGGGAGUUCCACCUCAGGCCUUGGGGACUUUCAACUCUGCUUCUCUGCUGCGUUUGCAUCAGCAUAUCCAUCCCUUCUUUCUCUAUAUAGGUAAGGACCUUAGUUCUGUUUGGUAAUUUUACCUAUUCAUAAUGUUCAUAUCCCUACCAAACCCAAAAGUAUGGACACCCCCACCCUGAAUUUUGUCUGCUGGGUUUCUUGCACUCUAAGCAUUCAGUGUAUGCUCUAACUAUGAUUCCUAGUGGGGAAAAAAGGCAAAUACCACAACAGUUACUGGAUUAGCAAUCCAGGAGAAAUUUUUAUUAUUUCUGAACUGAGAAUGUUUUAUCACUGUGAUACUUGAAAAAGGGAAAAUCAGGGAAUUUCAUCCUUAACUUGCAUAAAUUUAAAAUACACGCAUUUUUUUGAAUGAUUUCUUUACCACAGGC